GAUGAACGCUGGCGGCGUGCCUAAUACAUGCAAGUCGAGCGAACAGACGAGGAGCUUGCUCCUCUGACGUUAGCGGCGGACGUGUGAGUAACACGUGGAUCACCUACCUAUAAGACUGGGAUAACUUCGGGAAACCGGAGCUAAUACCGGAUAACAUGUUGAACCGCAUGGUUUAACAGUGAAAGACGGUCUUGCUGUCACUUAUAGAUGGAUCCGCGCCGCAUUAGCUAGUUGGUAAGGUAACGGCUUACCAAGGCAACGCUGCGUAGCCGACCUGAGAGGGUGAUCGGCCACACUGGAACUGAGACACGGUCCAGACUCCUACGGGAGGCAGCAGUAGGGAAUCUUCCGCAAUGGGCGAAAGCCGGACGGAGCAACGCCGCGUGAGUGAAGAAGGUCUUCGGAUCGUAAAACUCUGUGAUUAGGGAAGAACAAAUGUGUAAGUAAAUAUGCACGUCUUGACGGUACCUAAUCAGAAAGCCACGGCUAACUACGUG
rnacentral:rRNA from 1 species